rnacentral:rRNA from 1 species
GAUGAACGCUGGCGGCGUGCCUAAUACAUGCAAGUCGAGCGAACGGACGAGAAGCUUGCUUCUCUGAUGUUAGCGGCGGACGGGUGAGUAACACGUGGAUAACCUACCUAUAAGACUGGGAUAACUUCGGGAAACCGGAGCUAAUACCGGAUGAUAUUUUGAACCGCAUGGUUCAAAAGUGAAAGACGGUCUUGCUGUCACUUAUAGAUGGAUCCGCGCUGCAUUAGCUAGUUGGUAAGUUAACGGCUUACCAAGGCGACGAUGCAUAGCCGACCUGAGAGGGUGAUCGGCCACACUGGAACUGAGACACGGUCCAGACUCCUACGGGAGGCAGCAGUAGGGAAUCUUCCGCAAUGGGCGAAAGCCUGACGGAGCAACGCCGCGUGAGUGAUGAAGGUCUUCGGAUCGUAAAACUCUGUUAUUAGGGAAGAACAUAUGUGUAAGUAACUGUGCACAUCUUGACGGUACCUAAUCAGAAAGCCACGGCUAACUACGUG